GCUCCGGUAGUUUAAUUGGUAAAGCACUCGUCUAGCAUACAAGAUUCGUGGGUUCGAAUCCCACUUGAGCU
rnacentral:tRNA from 1 species